GUGGGAGAUAGUGCUCAGCUAAUACCGAAAGGAAGCACCCUGCAGAGCCCAGGAACACCGUGCAUGCAGCAGGGGUGCCCAGGAAAGGGGCUGAAUUUGCUUCUUUAGUAAAGACAUGGUGAAACCAUUGUUGAAGGUCAGCAUGACGGUGGCAGAAGAUUUCCUGUUUAUGAUUUCUAGUCUGUUGGACAUUGUCACAUUUGGACUUUGAGGACUUUAUCUUUGGGUUUGGAAGACUUAAGUUGGUCUUAAUAAUUGAGCCCAGACAUGUAACCAAAGUGCAGAAUCUGUGAAGUUCCCUGCUCAAGAGCCUGAGGGAGAAACUGAGGCAAAGCACUGCAGUGCCAGAUCUUGCUCUAAGGAGCUGAUACGUGAUGGUGGUCAGUGAUACUACUAACUGAAAGACUGAGCUACUUCAGCCCAUCUGUCCUAGCUCUGAGAUGGAUACAACUGCCUAGGUAGAAAAUGGGUAACAUUCACUUCCAGUCAGUGGAGAACUUAGAGGAGACUGUCCAACAUACGCAUGUUCUUUAUCAUUGCAAAGGAGGUGGAUCUCUAGGUGUGAUUUGAAAGACAACCAUUUAGACCAGGAAAUGAAGAAAAUCCAGAUUCAAAAGAAACUACUGAGGCCAUCUGGGAGGUCACAGAUGCUGGCAAUCAACUAAGAAUCUCCUUAUGUACCAACCUGGUGUAGAGGAUGGAGCGAGGCAUGCACCGUGGUCUCCUCUCCAGAGGCCAUGUUCAGGGUUUUGCCUAUCUCAGCCUUUGGCUGGAAAACAAAAUGCCAGCACCCUCCAGCCCCAACUCCUCCUACCGCAGGGAUAGGGUCUAACUAAUCGAAGUAGGUCAUGAAGCCUAGUGAGAUAUUUAAUCUCAAUACGGAUCACCAGAGAAGAACCUGCUGCCAUUUCAAACAGAGUCCCUCAAGCCAGAUUGUCACGUGAUGCUCCUCGCUCCCUCCAGCCGUACACCCUCCCCACAAACCCGGAGACACAUGAGCACCGGUAGCCUUUGGCGUACUGGGCGUAUCCACUCUGAGCGUACUGAGGAAACAGCUAUAAAAAUAAGAUACAGAAGCCAGCUUUGUAGGAGCAGCUUCAGCCGACAGGUUUUUCAUAGGCGAGUUUCUCACAAGUGCUUUGCCCUAUGGAAUGGAACAGAAACCAAGAGGGAUUUUGUUGAGUUCUACGGGCACUAAGAGCCAGAUUUUUAAAGGAAUUCAGGCACCUAACUCCCUUAGGCACUGAAUACUAGAUUGGGUCAAACUGUAUCUAGUAUGUUGCAAACAAGCACGAGUUAGAGCUAGAUUUGAAAAGGUAUUUAGGCACCUAAGCCAG